CACCCCCCUUACCGGUCACUUGAGGUACAGAGUGACUUGUGUUGAAGUCCUGCGGUGGCGAUUAUCGUAAUAUUUCUCAUCCAUCCGUGCGUCAGGAGGGCUGCGGGUCGUGUGCCUCGGCCGCGGACAGCCCCGUGAUGGUCAGCCCUCCAAGUGUGCUCGUCUUAGCAAGGCCUUCCUCUCCCAGACGACCAAAACGCAAAGGGAGGUGUUCCACGCGCCCUUCUUCACCACCCGGUUCUGUACGGCCUGGACGGGGCUCUUCUGCCCGCUCUGCCUCACCUGCCUCUUCUGCUUCAGGAGGGACAAGGACUCACUCAAGGUCUCCCUCAAAACCAUCGCGCAGAACUUCAGGGACCGCGGCAUCACUUUCAGCAAGUUCAUGACCCGGUGCUGCCUCUUCUGCAUGCUGUGGCUGGUGACAGACUACAUGCACGUCUACUCGCUUCGGAUCCUCGACUGCACUGACGUCAUGGCUCUCUACUCUGCCCACGUCUCCUUCGUGUUCCUCCUCUCGUGGAUGAUCCUGCAUGACCAGUUUGUCGGCGUUAGGGUAACCCAUGAACUACCCCUAACAAUUGUGAUGAAGAACCAGAAGUGGGCUGUAGGUGACGAGAUAACUACUCCAGGUCAUCGCGGAAGUGGCGAGGUGACCCCAUACAACUCCACAAGGUCGUGGAGGACGCCAGGCUUAGUCCUGCAGACUCCAG